GACGAACGCUGGCGGCGUGCUUAACACAUGCAAGUCGAACGGAAAGGCCCUGCUUUUGUGGGGUGCUCGAGUGGCGAACGGGUGAGUAACACGUGAGUAACCUGCCCUUGACUUUGGGAUAACUUUAGGAAACUGGGGCUAAUACCGGAUAGGAGCUCCUGCUGCAUGGCGGGGGUUGGAAAGUUUCGGCGGUUGGGGAUGGACUCGCGGCUUAUCAGCUUGUUGGUGGGGUAGUGGCUUACCAAGGCUUUGACGGGUAGCCGGCCUGAGAGGGUGACCGGCCACAUUGGGACUGAGAUACGGCCCAGACUCCUACGGGAGGCAGCAGUGGGGAAUAUUGCACAAUGGGCGGAAGCCUGAUGCAGCAACGCCGCGUGCGGGAUGACGGCCUUCGGGUUGUAAACCGCUUUCGCCUGUGACGAAGCGUGAGUGACGGUAAUGGGUAAAGAAGCACCGGCUAACUACGUG
rnacentral:rRNA from 1 species